AACGAACGCUGGCGGCAUGCCUAACUCAUGCAAGUCGAACGAGAUCUUCGGGUCUAGUGGCGCACGGGUGCGUAACGCGUGGGAAUCUGCCCUUUGGUUCGGAAUAACAGUUGGAAACGACUGCUAAUACCGGAUGAUGACGAAAGUCCAAAGAUUUAUCGCCAGAGGAUGAGCCCGCGUAGGAUUAGCUAGUUGGUGUGGUAAAGGCGCACCAAGGCGACGAUCCUUAGCUGGUCUGAGAGGAUGGUCAGCCACACUGGGACUGAGACACGGCCCAGACUCCUACGGGAGGCAGCAGUGGGGAAUAUUGGACAAUGGGCGAAAGCCUGAUCCAGCAAUGCCGCGUGAGUGAUGAAGGCCUUAGGGUUGUGAAGCUCUUUUACCCGGGAUGAUAAUGACAGUACCGGGAGAAUAAGCUCCGGCUAACUCCGUGCCAGCCGCCGCAGUAA
rnacentral:rRNA from 1 species